AUUGAACGCUGGUGGCAUGCCUAACACAUGCAAGUCGAGCGAGCGGCGGACGGUUGAGUAAUGUCUGGGAAACUGCCUGAUGGAGGGGGAUAACUACUGGAAACGGUAGCUAAUACCGCAUACCAUCAGAUGUGCCCAGAUGGGAUUAGUUAGUAGGUGGGGUAACGGCUCACCUAGGCGACGAUCCCUAGCUGGUCUGAGAGGAUGACCAGCACCACUGGAACUGAUACACGGUCCAGACUCCUACGGGAGGCAGCAGUGGGGAAUAUUGCACAAUGGGCGCAAGCCUGAUGCAGCCAUGCCGCGUGUGUGAAGAAGGCCUUCGGGUUGUAAAGCACUUUCAGCGGGGAGGCGUUACCCGCAGAAGAAGCACCGGCUAACUCCGUGCCAGCCGCCGCGGUAAUUC
rnacentral:rRNA from 1 species